GACAGAGGCCUCGAGCGUUAGGCGGAAUCACUGGGCUUAAAGCGUGUGUAGGCGGAUCGUUAAGUGCCUUGUGAAAUCCCCACGGCUUAACUGUGGAACGGCUGGGCAUACUGGCGGUCUUGAGCCAUCUAGGGGCGACUGGAACAAACGGUGGAGCGGUGAAAUGCGUAGAUAUCGUUUGGAACGCCAAUGGUGAAAACAGGUCGCUGGGGAUGAGCUGACGCUGAGACACGAAAGCCAGGGGAGCAAACGGG
rnacentral:rRNA from 1 species